rnacentral:sRNA from 1 species
GAAAGCUUCCCUUGCCAUGCACCAAGUUCCAUUUCCCAAAUGCACGUCAUAAGAUUUUGUGUCAACCACCUUCAAUCCCAACGAAGCCACUAAUUCCCUAGAUAUAAAAUUGUGUCUAGCUUUGCUAUUCACCAACAAUAUUGUAGCAUAACCCUUCAACAAUCUUUCAAAAUUAAUGGUCCCUGGAUGGAUUGUUUCUUGUUGAUCAAUCACCCCAUAAUUCAAAACCUAACUGACCAUAAACCUUAUAUUUGUCCUCUUUAGCUUCUAUGGACACUAAUGAUUCUUCCUGGUAUUCAUCACCUUCCUAAUUGAGGAGGUGCAAAUGCUUGUAUAGGCUUUGUUGAGUGGGAUUGUAAUGCUUCCCACACUUGAAAGACAACCCCUUAUUUCUCCCUUCCACAGAAUCCCCACACUAGAUUUUGUGUUCCACCUUGAUAGCAAGAAUUUGAAAUUUGUGUUGACCUUGUUUGUCUGAAUCUCAUGAUCCAUUUGAUUUUAUAGACACCACUAGUUGAGCUUUGGACCCACUUGCAACCAAGUUGAUCAAUGAGGUUAUAGUAUUCAUUUGCUGCAUUCUGUGCCACCCACUAAAGGCUUUUCAAGGUGAAGAGCGAGUGAGUAUUUGCUCAAUCAACAUGAAACAGAAAUGAAUUUGUAGCUUGAAGGUGAGAAACUCCAUCCUUAGUUCUGAUGCAACUUCAGUCGGAGUGGUGAUUCCCAUAUCGAUCCAUAAGCUGGAUCUUCUCCAUCGAACACAGGCAAUUCUACUUGCUUCGACGAAAUUUUAAGCUCAUCCAAAAUGGUUACAGUGGAUGAAGAGCCUCCAUUUGGUGUCAACAUUCCUGCAUAUGACAACUUUGGUUCUUGUUGCCGAAGAAUCCAUCUCGCAUCUUUGCAUGCAAAGUUUAAAGGGACUUGGUGAUCUCAUCGACACUAGUAAUUGAGGAACCCAAGUGCCUGGAGUUUUCCUUCAGAGUCGGAUCAUGACAACACACAAAUUAGUCCUUUCCUGAAGCAAUGGGUCCUGGUUUUAGAGACUUGAGUCAACCCUGACUCCAAAGCUUCUAAUUGUGAAGUCAUUCUUGUGUGCUUACUCAUUUUGAUAGCAACUACUAUCGGUUGGAGGUGAUUCUUGACCUAG